rnacentral:misc_RNA from 1 species
GACUGGGGUGAAGUCGUAACAAGGUAGCCGUAGGGGAACCUGCGGCUGGAUCACCUCCUUUCUAAGGAUCGACGAGAAAGCGCACGGACGGUCUUCGGACUGCAUCGGUGGAAGGGCUUCUCCUCUUUCGUAUAGAACAUAUGCCGCCGUCCUCAUGUCCCUUCAUCCUGGAAAAAGCGCCGUCAGCGAGACGAAACAGCAAGCUGUUUUGCACGCUGACAAGCUCGGCCGGCAUGGCAGAGCGCGCCCAUAGGGCGCGGCUUUGCCGUGACCGACGGGUGCGCGUGCGUGCGACCUGUGGUCGGGUGCGCGUCAAGUUUGGGCCGGUAGCUCAGGUGGUUAGAGCGCACGCCUGAUAAGCGUGAGGUCGUAAGUUCAACUCUUACUCGGCCCACCAUCGCGUGUCGUGUUCAUCUCUAUGGGGCCUUAGCUCAGCUGGGAGAGCGGUUGCUUUGCAAGCAUCAGGUCAUCGGUUCGAUCCCGAUAGGCUCCACCAUAGUCCUGCAGGCGCAUGUCAGUGCUGCCGCGGGACGAGAGACGCGUACAGAUCAUCAUCCAGGGUGAAGACAUCAGUUUCCGGCGCAAGCCGGAAUAUCCAGGGUUCGCCUGACGGCGAGCCUUUGUUUGACAUUGUGAAUGGGUUUUAGAAAUCGAUGCCGCUUUGGCAUGGGUUUCGCAAAUGGCCUCCGGCAACGGAGAUCGCUUGCGAAAUGCCGUGCGGAGCAAAUUGAUGACUAUGCUGAGAAGAAUUCUUAUCCGCACCGGAAGGCGCAGGGUUUGCCGAGUGAACUGUGUUCCGCAAGGGAUGCAGGCAUUCAGCCCUGUCGUUGGUGGUGUGGACUCUCAAGCGUGAGGUAAGGGCAAUUCGUGGAUGCCUUGGCGCAUACAGGCGAUGAAGGACGUGGCCACCGCCUGCGAUAAGCUGCCGG